CUUCCUCCACAUCCCAGUUCUCGAUUUCUGUAGUAGCGGCUGUAUUGCAGCCGCCUGCCGAACCGACCCGGUCUGGGGACUGGCCCCUCUGGCGCCGUUCGGUUUCUCUUAUUGCCUUCACUGAGGAUGAGUCCCUGUGUGGCUCUAUGUGGACCCUGCGGAAUCCACCCGCGCAGUUUCAUCUAGCGACUGGUCACCCUUGCAAUUAUGGAUAUUUAAAAGGAUCAGACAGUGUGGAGGGGGAGUUCCCCUCCGCACUCCCCCUUGGUGCUUGACUCCAGGAAUAAUUUAUAAACUGUGGAAUUUUUUUAAAUGAAGAACUUGUAUUUGAUAUGAACUUUAUAGAGCUAUUUAUAAUUUUUUUGAUUUAAGUGCCAAAAAAUUGUAUAAAGAUAUAUAGUUUUAUACUAUUGUCAUGAGGAUUUAAAUUAUCCUAAAAAGGUAAUUUAUUCUCGGUAACUUCCUCAGUAGCACCUUUGUGUCCUGGCUUUUUCAUUUUUUAAAAUUAGUUUUCACGAUUCCAAAGUAAGUGGUAUAAAAACAAUUAGGAUGAAUUCACCCAUGCCUGACUGCACAUCGAAGUGUCGAUCCCUGAAGCAUGCUUUGGAUGUCCUUUCUGUGGUAACAAAGGGGAGCGAAAACCAGAUUAAGGCCUUUCUCUCCAGUCAUUGUUACAAUGCUGCAACUAUCAAGGAUGUUUUUGGCAGGAAUGCCCUCCACCUUGUUUCCUCCUGUGGAAAGAAAGGAGUGUUAGAAUGGCUUAUUCAGAAAGGAGUGGAUCUGUUGGUGAAAGACAAAGAGUCUGGAUGGACAGCAUUGCACAGAAGCAUUUUUUAUGGACAUAUUGAUUGUGUUUGGUCUCUAUUGAAGCAUGGUGUUAGUCUGUAUAUUCAAGAUAAAGAAGGCUUAUCCUACAGAUGUUUAUACUUGGGGCGAUAAUACAAAUUUUACCCUGGGUCAUGGAAGCCAGAAUAGCAAACAUCAUCCAGAGUUGGUGGAUCUGUUCUCUAGGAGUGGGAUUUAUAUCAAGCAGGUGGUGCUUUGUAAAUUUCACUCCGUGUUUCUGUCUCAGAAAGGGCAGGUUUAUACCUGUGGUCAUGGUCCUGGAGGGCGAUUAGGACAUGGAGAUGAACAGACAUGCUUGGUCCCUCGGCUUGUGGAAGGACUGAAUGGUCAUAAUUGUUCCCAAGUGGCAGCUGCUAAGGAUCAUACUGUUGUAUUAACUGAAGAUGGAUGUGUUUAUACAUUUGGUCUAAACAUUUUUCAUCAAUUAGGAAUUAUUCCACCACCUUCCAGUUGUAAUGUACCCAGACAGAUACAGGCAAAAUAUCUGAAAGGAAGGACAAUCAUUGGCGUUGCAGCAGGCAGGUUUCAUACAGUCCUAUGGACUAGAGAAGCUGUUUACACUAUGGGACUAAAUGGUGGACAACUGGGUUGUUUGCUAGAUCCCAAUGGAGAAAAGUGUGUAACUGCUCCUCGUCAGGUCUCUGCCCUUCACCAUAAAGACAUUGCUCUGUCUUUGGUUGCUGCAAGUGAUGGAGCUACAGUCUGUGUUACCACAAGGGGAGAUAUUUACUUACUUGCAGACUAUCAGUGCAAGAAGAUGGCUUCUAAACAAUUGAACUUGAAAAAAGUUCUUGUGUCUGGGGGUCAUAUGGAAUACAAAGUUGAUCCUGAACAUUUGAAAGAAAAUGGGGGUCAAAAAAUUUGUAUUCUUGCAAUGGAUGGAGCUGGAAGGGUGUUUUGCUGGAGAUCAGUCAACAGUUCUCUGAAGCAGUGUCGAUGGGCCUAUCCACGUCAGGUCUUCAUUUCUGAUAUUGCUUUAAAUAGAAAUGAAAUUCUAUUUGUUACGCAAGAUGGAGAAGGAUUUAGAGGGAGAUGGUUUGAAGAAAAAAGAAAGAGUUCUGAAAAGAAAGAGAUUUUAUCAAACCUUCACAAUUCCUCAUCAGAUGUGUCUUAUGUCUCUGAUAUAAAUAGUGUGUAUGAAAGAAUUCGACUUGAGAAACUUACCUUUGCACAUAGAGCUGUUAGUGUCAGCACAGAUCCAAGUGGAUGCAACUUUGCAAUCCUGCAGUCAGAUCCUAAAACAAGCCUUUAUGAAAUUCCAGCUGUGUCCUCAUCAUCCUUUUUUGAAGAGUUUGGCAAACUGUUGAGGGAAGCAGAUGAAAUGGACAGCAUUCAUGAUGUGACAUUUCAAGUUGGCAAUAGACUCUUCCCUGCACAUAAAUAUAUUUUGGCAGUGCAUUCUGAUUUUUUUCAGAAAUUGUUUCUUUCAGAUGGUGAUACUUCAGAAUUUACAGAUAUUUACCAGAAAGAUGAAGAUUCUGCAGGGUGCCAUCUCUUUGUGGUAGAGAAGGUUCAUCCUGACAUGUUUGAAUACCUUUUACAAUUUAUAUACACAGAUACUUGUGACUUUUUAACUCAUGGCUUCAAACCAAGAAUACACUUAAACAAAAACCCAGAAGAAUAUCAGGGAACUCUGAAUUCUUAUUUGAAUAAAGUGAAUUUCCAUGAAGAUGAUAACCAGAAGUCUGCAUUUGAAGUUUACAAAAGUAAUCAAGCUCAAACAGUUAGUGAGAGGCAGAAGAGCAAACCUAAAUCUUGUAAAAAAGGAAAAAAUAUUAGGGAAGAUGAUCCUGUAAGAAUGUUGCAAACUGUUGCAAAGAAAUUUGGCUUCAGUAAUUUGAGUAGUAGGUUAGAUGGAGUCAGAUUUGAAAAUGAAAAAAUUAAUGUUAUUUCCAAGAACACUGGUAAUAAACUGAAGCUAAGUCAGAAAAAAUGUUCAUUUCUGUGUGACGUGACCAUGAAAUCAGUGGAUGGAAAGGAAUUUCCUUGUCAUAAAUGUGUUCUUUGUGCUAGACUUGAAUAUUUUCACAGUAUGCUGAGUAGCUCAUGGAUUGAGGCUUCCAGUUGUGCAGCUCUGGAAAUGCCAAUACAUUCUGAUAUAUUAAAAGUUAUUUUGGACUACCUCUAUACUGAUGAAGCUGUGGUGAUAAAAGAAUCUCAAAAUGUAGAUUUUAUUUGUAGUGUUCUUGUGGUGGCUGAUCAACUUCUCAUAACCCGGUUGAAAGAGAUUUGUGAAGUAGCAUUAACUGAAAAACUUACCCUGAAGAAUGCUGCUAUGCUACUGGAAUUUGCAGCAAUGUAUAGUGCAAAACAGUUGAAACUGUCUUGUUUACAGUUUAUAGGAUUGAAUAUGGCAGCUUUACUUGAAGCAAGGUCUCUUGAUGUUUUAAGUGAUGGUGUUUUGAAGGAUCUUUCUGAGUUUUACCGGAAAAUGAUUCCAGCAAUGGAUAGAAGAGUCAUUACACCAUAUCAAGAUGGACCAGAUAUUAGCUAUUUGGAAGUAGAAGAUGGAGAUAUCUUCUUGAAAGAAGAAAUAAAUAUGGAACAAAAUCAUUCGGAAACUAUGUUCAAGAAGGCAAAAACAAAAGCUAAAAAGAAGCCACGUAAACGUUCAGAUAGUUCUGGAGGUUAUAACCUUUCAGAUAUUAUUCAGAGUCCAUCAUCUACAGGAUUAUUAAAGUCUGGUAAGACCAAUUCUGUGGAAUCUCUUCCAGAACUGUUGACAUCAGACUCUGAAGGAAGCUAUGCAGGAGUGGGUAGUCCUAGAGAUUUACAGUCCCCUGAUUUCACAACAGGAUUUCAUUCAGAUAAGAUUGAGGCGAAAGUCAAACCAUAUGUUAAUGGUACCUCUCCAGUGUAUUCUAGGGAAGAUUUAAAACCAUGGGAAAAGUCACCAAUACUUAAAAUAUCUGCUCCACAGCCCAUUCCCAGUAACAGAAUUGAUACUACCAGCUCUGCCAGUUGGGUUGCUGGUUCUUUCAGUCCUGUCAGCCCUCCUGUUGUGGAUCUCAGAACCAUCAUGGAAAUAGAAGAAAGUAGACAAAAAUGUGGAGCUACACCAAAGUCACAUUUAGGGUUGGUUGAAAACAUUAUAAAUGAUCAUUUCAUGUUGUAUUUCUGCCUUAAGAAUUGGACAGACUUACUCCAUCUUUCCUAUUAUUUUUCUGCAUUUCAUGUUAUAGUUAAUUAUACAUCCUUUUCUGGGCAAUUUAGCCUCCAUAAUAUUAUUUCUUAAAUAUGUGCUAAAGAUAGAGUUGAGUUGAUAAUCCAGCUCUUGUAGAAUACAGUAUUACAUCCCAGAAACUUGACUCUAAAAUGAUCAUUGUGGACUAUUGGCUACAAAAGCCAAAGAGUUAAGGCUUGUGAUGCAAGUUCUUCUUGAAAUUUAUGGUAUGUUGGAGGGCUCAUAUGUAGCUAUUACUUGAUCAUUGUUAGUAUAAACUGAUAUUUUCAUUGUUGAAACUUGUGAGCAUUUUGAUCCAAUAAUGGUAAAAUAACAUCAAAUAAAUAGAAAACAUUAUUAUUACCAGU
rnacentral:sRNA from 1 species